ensembl:lncRNA
GUUAAAUUAGCUGUUACUGUGUGGGCAGGGUUUCUGUUUCAGCUUCCUGUUUCACUGUUAGCCCCACACCCAGCUAUACAUGCGUCCUGUCACAUACACGAAGCACCAAGAGCUUAUUUCUUGUUUCAUUCUGUUCACUUACUGCUGACAAUGGUAAGUAACUACUUGCUACUUGCAACUACUAAUUGCUUUGCAUCUUUAUGAUUGAUUUCUUCAACAUUGCUAAUUUCAUGUAUGUUGUUGGUGAAAUGUGAUCUGAUUCCAUCAGGCUGAUGCACAAAUGACAAAGUGAGUUGACCUAUUCUCUGAACUACAAAUGCUGAUUGUUGUGUUCUAAUUUUAAAUGAUUUUAAACUAUUGUUUAUUAUAUUCAGAAAAGAAAGACAACUCGUAAGUGAAAGCAAUUUCAAAACUAACGCUUUCAAGAUUAUCAAGGAAAUAGUGAUACUUUGUGUCCAGUGUUCAGACCCUGUUGCCACUGUACAUUUUGUUGAUGAGGUAUGUCAUAUCAAGACUCUUAUAAACUUUGAAUUUGGUUUAUGUCCCUGUCAGAGUUUGCACUGAACAUGUCAUAACAAUACAGAAAAUCUUUGAUUUCAUAGGUUCUUCACAGCAUCUACUUUUUGGGAAAGAUCAAAAUUCAACCAUCAUUCAACCCUGAAGACAUUCUCUUUGAUAGAGAGUUGUUGAAAAUGUUCAGGGACAUGUUCCCUUGGCCUUUUAAGUGCUAUUUAUCUCAGCUACCUAAGCGGAGUCCAUUUUCAUGUGUGCUGGACAUGGUAAGCUUAUAGCUUGUCAAGAGAUUAUUCUUCCUAAUGUACAAAUCUGCAUUUCACAAACAUUUGUGAUUUUGCAGGUUGUCUACCUGACUGGAGAAUGGAAUGAAAACAUCAUUAAACAACAGUUACAAAACAUCACUAACGGCUUAAACCCAAAGCAUCUGAUCUCCUCCACCGUGUGUGUCUCUCAAAAGAAGAAGAAGAAGAAGAAGAAGAAGAAGAAGAAGAAGAACCCAGGCUCACUAAGAAGGGAAGAACUUCUGAGGACCCAAGAGUCUUUUAGAAGCAAUGCCAUCCUGCUAAUCACAAAGAUGUUAGAUUGGCACGACCUGUAUCCAGGAGGUAAACACUUAGUGGAGGAGAUGCUACACAGCAUCUUCUUUCUAGGAAAGAUCAACAGGCCGCCAUAUUCUCCAGAAAUGAUCUUUGGGAGUGAUGUAGUGAUGUUACAAAGGUUGAAGCUGUCCUACCCCCGUCCUUUUGAGUGCUAUUUAUCUCACCAACCUAAGCGGAGUCCAUUUUCGUGUGUGGAAGACAUGGUUGUCUACCUGGCUGAAGAAUGGAAUGAAAACCUCAUUAAACACCUGUUACAAAACAUCACUAACAACUUAAAAACAAAGCCUUUGAUCUCCUCCACCGUGGGUGUCUCUCAGAAGAAGAAGAAGAAGAGUAGAAAGAAGAAGAAGAAGAAGAACCCAGCAUCAGUCAGGUACUACGGAGUCUCCAUGUCCACUUCUGGUGGUGAUGCUGGGCAAAUCAUGAUUGCUGCCUCCUGUUUGAGCUACUGGGACAAUUACGUAGCUGAUGCAGUGAUGACCUAUUAUCCUGUAAAAGUCAAGAAAGACUACUUUGAUGGAACCAUCAAACUUCCUAAUACGAUCAGGUGCAAAGCGUUUUGCAUCAGUGAUGGAGUAGAAAUGUCUCCUUGCAGAUCAUGUCAGAACUGGUUUGGUUUGAGAGAUAAUACUGUAGCAAAAGAAUGGGCAACUGUGCUGAAGCUGAGAGUUUGAGCAAACUGUUGAAAAAUGAGAGCGAAAUUAAGGCCAACGUCUGUCAUGUACACAGAUGAGAACAGGGAGAGGGCUCAAAGACAUGUCUUGAACAAUUUUAGGGAUUUAGUUGAGGGAGCUAAGUGAAAGGAUACCAGACUCAGAAUGAAAUAACAUGGUCCUGACACUGAGUUACAGCAGUAGAUAGGGAUUUUUUUCAUGGUAUAGGAAGAAACGAGAUUAGUGCAGGAGAUAGUCAGAAUAGGAAAUAACAGGUAACUUAGCCAGUUAGUGUAUGACAAAAAACAUGAUAAUUAAUGCAGCAAACAUAUUUCUUAACAACAUACUGAAAACUGGCUUCAAAUCUUUGAACAGUUAAAACAAAUGUGAUUUAUAUAAAGUUUUAACAUUGGAAAUGGCUGAUGUUACUUGUUAUGUGUAUAUCUAUUCCUAUUGACAAUAGACAUGCAAAUGAUUUUAUAGCAAACUCUACAAGACUAAUGUGUGUACAGCUUGAAUGAAGCAUGCAAGCGAUGCAAAGAUUAAUAAACAAUUCAUAAAAGUAUUGUGAAUUAAUGCCAUGUCAAGAGCUUUCGGUUAAAUGGAAGAACUGAAAAAGUGGCGAGGGUGGGACAUAAACCAUCAUUUAGAAACAAAAUAUCC